rnacentral:rRNA from 1 species
CCUACGGGAGGCUGCAGUGAGGAAUAUUGGUCAAUGGGCUUACGCCUGAACCAGCCAAGUCGCGUGAGGGAAGACUGCCCUAUGGGUUGUAAACCUCUUUUGUCAGGGAGCAACGCCGGCUACGUGUAGCCGGACUGAGAGUACCUGAAGAAAAAGCAUCGGCUAACUCCGUGCCAGCAGCCGCGGUAAUACGGAGGAUGCGAGCGUUAUCCGGAUUUAUUGGGUUUAAGGGGUGCGUAGGCGGAAUGCCAAGUCAGCGGUAAAAUCGCGGGGCUCAACCUCGCUCCGCCGUUGAAACUGGAGGUCUUGAGUGGGCGAGAAGUAUGCGGAAUGCGUGGAGUAGCGGUGAAAUGCAUAGAUAUAACGCAGAACUCCGAUUGCGAAGGCAGCAUACCGGCGCCCAACUGACGCUGAAGCACGAGAGCGUGGGUAGCGAACAGGAUUAGAUACCCCAGUAGUC